UCUUUUUUUUUUUUUUUCUAAUUUAUGGGACAAAUAGAUCAUUGUUCCAUCUAUUAGCAAUACUUAACUCCAUAUCAUGAGCUCUAGUUGCUAACUCUUCAAUGGUGCGGGAUUUUAUUUCAGGAAAAAUGUGUAGAAGCCCUCAAUGCAUUCCUUGAGUGCACAUUUCUAUUGUUGACAGUUCAGUUAAUCUAUCUUUGUAGUCAAGGCUUAAUGCACUCGAACGGUUAAUAUAAUCAAUGGCCAACCCACUCUUUCGGUACUUGGUGGCAAUUAGCUCUAUUAUGUUAACAAUGCGUCAAGUGUUGUAGAAACGAUUAAGAAAGUCACUCUCAAGUUACUCCCAACCAUAAAUGGAUUCAGGUUCAAGGUCAAUGUACCAAUUAAAUGUGUUUCCUCUGAGGGUUUGGACAAAUUGUUUGACCAGCAAAUCUUCUCGUGUAUCAGGAGUUUCAUAUGUUUUGAUGAAGUGAGCAACAUGUUGUUUUGGUUUACUCUUUCCAUCAAAUUGUUGGAACUUAGAUGGCUGAUACCCAUUCGACAUUCUCAAAUUGUCAAUCCUCUUCAUAUAUGGCUUGAAAUACAAAGAGAAAGUUUGAGCCGGUCCACCAUAUUGAGUUUUGAUGGAGUUUACAAUCAUCUUAUACAACUACUUAAGACAACGAUGCAAUUGGGGUCAAAUUUUGUGAUUGACUUUCUUGCAUAAUUGUCUUUUAUUUGUUAGUAUUCUUAAUAGUAUGUGUAUUGCUUGAUUCAGCAACCUCGCAACUCUCAGUGUGAUUCUUGAUAGAUGCAAUAUUAUAAUAUCUUUCUUCCACUGCUUUCAUGAGCAUGUUGACCUUCUUUUCAAGCUCUGACAUUCUAUCUUCACUUGUAUUCACGUCAGUCACCAUAACCGAUAUUAUAUUUGGGUGAGGCAUCUUCUCAUUUGAGCGUUCAAAAGACGAAUUGUGUUCAUCAAUCACAUGAUUUUAUUUGAUUACAAUUCCACAUUUUUAGGCUUUGCCAGUUGUUUCCAAAUGUUCUUUGCAACCUUAAAGGGUGACAUGUUCUCAGAUGACUGAGUCUUCCUUGAGUGGCUAGAAGUAUUUGGCCGCUUGUUGAUGUCGCUUAGAGCUUUGAAAGUGUUACCUUUUGACGUCAUGAUUUCUUGAAAUGUUCUUUGUAAAAAACAGAGAGAGAUGAAAGGUAUAGAGACGGUCUCAUUUGGUGUGUCAAACUAUUCACAUGAGAUUUCCAGAGAAAUGUAAUUCGUGGAAUUGAACUUUGUAUAUUGAUUUAUAUAGUGGAUACAAACUCUAAUAUUUACUCAUUUGAUGUUUCUCUCGAAUACAAAUAAAAGUUCUUAAAAGUUCUUGGUCUUCAAUCUUUAGAAAGUUGUUGUUGCAAGUCAAUUUGAGCUUCGAUCUUCUGAAAUUCAAGGAAAGUUAAAUCGUCAAAGUCUUCAACCUUUCCCAAGAUGAUGAUCUCAAAGUUAUAAGAAUUUGCAUGUUUUGAGAGCUUUUAGAAGUUUGAUAAUUCUUCUGAGCUUCCAUUCUUCCUUCCACCAAAGAUCUCAAAAAUGAAUGGAAAUGUCCCUAUUUAUAGAGAAUUUUCAUGGACUUAGGUGGGUUUUGGCUCAUUUACUUGUUGGGUUUGAGCUCGGGCCCAUUUGCUUGUUGGGCUUGAGCUUGGAUCCAUUUGCAUGUUGGACUUGGGCUUGAGGCCAUUAUCCUCGUUUGGCCCAAUUUUUAUAUCUAGGGUCUGAAUUGUGUUGGGUAUGAGAAAACUUAAUUACUCAAACCUAAUCAAAUUAUAAUUAUCACAAUGUUUGUUAUUAUGACAUGACAUAAUUUAAUUGGCUGAAAUUUGUUGCUCGACACUUUUUGUCGAUUGUGGCUAGGGUAAACAAGAGGAAGAAGAUGAAUGGAUGGAGGGAUAGGGGCACGCACAUACCGAGGUUUCUAUUUAUGGAUAGUCCGAAGGAUAAAUCACCUGGACCUUUCUUUGGCCAAACCACAAUAUUCUGCAUUGAGCCUUGGCACCUGGAAGUCUCGUUAAUGCAUAUUUUAUUAUUAUUAUUUCUUUUUAGUAAAUACUUUUCCUUUUUUCUUUUCAAAUAACUAAAUUCAACCUCUUUUUUCUAAUUAAUUCUCCCAUCACAUCCGACUUUUCUCUUUUUCUAAAAUAGAAUAUUGAUCCUUCACGAGUUGUUCAUAAUUACAAUUAAGUCAAAUAUUUGUCUUACCUUUGUAAUAACUUCAUUUCCUUAAGUAUCAUUGAUUUCUCUAAUAAAUAAUUUGUUUAUGGUCCAACCAUAAAUUAAGUCCCUCAUACGACAACAAGAGGCUGAGAUCGCUUGUUCAAGACUCAAAAUUAGUACUUAAGAAAACUACUAAUCUACUUACCAUAUGUGAGAAGGAGUGAGUUUUGUCCUGCAAAGUUAUGUUUCAAACUCCCCAUUUAGUAAAAUCUCAUAAAAUUGUAGGCUUACUAGGUCAAAAGCUUGAGUCACUCUCACUCGUGCAAAUCAAAGAACUGUCCUCGUAGACAGAAGUUCAUAAAUUACUUAUGAUUAAGAUUUGAGUCAUACAUGAUCAUUUUAUGAAUAUUAAUAUCAUCAAUUAAUGGAUUUACAAAGAGAGAUUAAUUAUUUCACAGUCUAGUUUUAUACAAACUCAACAAUUUGUACAAACAAUUUGUAGUUUACAAAGUGAAACGUAUCCAUAUUGUCACUGAUAUAAGACACUCAACCUUAUCCAUAUGUCAUAAACCUUUAAGUUAUUUCUUGUACAUGAUUCACAUUGUAUGUCAACUCCAACGAGCAACUAUAUAUUUUUACUAUUAAUGUCGAAAAUAAUAUAUAUAUAUAUAUAUAUAUAUAUAUAUAUAUAUAAAAGUUUAUUUGUGUUGAUGGGUAGAAUUCAAUAUUUUAGUAUACUCCACCAAUAUUUUUGUUUAUUUUGAAAAUGUCCUUUGCUUUAGUUACUUAAAAUUUAAUUGAAGCGGUUUGGAUUUUAUGUGGGAUUUCUACAUUCUAUCCAAAGAAACCAAGAAGCCCCUCCUUCCUCGUUAGGGAGCUUUGUGUGUGAGUGUGUUCAAUUUCUCUUCAGUUUCUUCUACGGCUUUAACAACAUCCUCCACUUCUUCUGCUCGAAAAUCCACUCUUCUUUUUACCAAACCAUCCAAUUUGCACGCAGGUUCAGUAUUUUAUUUUCUUCUUCGUCUUCUUCGCUUUCCUACCCUUUGCUUUCGCUUUUCCCAUUUAAAGUUCAACGAAACAACAUGGUUCUUCAAGGGUUUUCUUUUUCCUGCUUUAGGUUUCAAUGUUAUUUGCAGCAUCCUUCCAAAGUGUCUCCUUAUUUUCUAAUUCGAGUAGUGCCCAUUUCCAUUUUCCUUCCACAAAGCCUCUGGUCUCCACCAGGCUCUCCGUACGAGCUUCAUCGCCGGAUAGUGAUAGUAAUGGUCUUAAAGUGGAGUAUACUCCUUGGCUUAUUGUUGGACUGGGUAACCCAGGAAACAAGUAUCAUGGGACUCGGCACAAUGUAAUCAGACAUUCUUUAACUCUGUGUAAUGAACUUUUUUGAAUGAGUUUGGGAUGGACUUUUCAUAGUUUAGCAGUACUUUUAAUUUAAACCAAUCAAAUUUCCUAUCUAGUGCUUUCUAUGAAGUGUUCCAAACUCACCAUCUCUUAACGUGCAGUGACACUAAGUAACAUUGCUCUUUUUGGCCUCUUGGGUUUGAUUGGUCAGGUUGGUUUUGAAAUGAUUGAUAGCAUUGCUCAAGCGCAGGGAAUUUUGAUGAACACAAUACAAUCCAAAGCUCUAAUUGGAAUAGGUUGGCUUGUUUUCCCCUUCUAUGUUAUUGAAUUGGGUUUCCAUGUUACGUGGAUUUGAAGUUCAUUAUGUUUCUUGAAUAAUCAGUACAGGUUCAAUCGGAGAAGUACCAAUUUUAUUGGCAAAGCCUCAAACUUACAUGAAUUUCUGUGGAGAAUCGGUUUGUCCUCUUGUCUCUCUUUUCUUCUGUUAUUCAAUAAGCAUGGCACACAGCAUACAGUUGAAUGAUGGUUUGUUUAUAUCUGAAGUGUAUGGAUCCAAAGCUUAGUUUGAAGCAAAAUAAGCUCACCGAGCUCCUUGUAUGACCUUAUAUUCAUAGGGAUAGAUUGUUAGUUUCUUUCCAUUGAAGCAAUGACAUAGCAUUAAUAUCGCAUUUUGAUAAGUAUGUGGACAGGAGUUCUGUGGGUUUGGAUAUGUUUUACGCCUUUAGAUGUUCUACUUAACCUUCAAUUUUGUCUGAGUGUGAUUGUUAGAGGCCCAAAGUCAACUGUGAUUUGCUCGAAGUGAACUAAAUCUCUGAUUGGAUAGGUUUAUUGUGAUGAUGGUCUGAAGAUACUUAGUUUUUUCAUUUUUCUAACCUUGCUGGUUACAUAUACUAGAAAACUCAGUUGAUUCCUGUAUUAGAUUUUGGAUGAGGCUAUAAUAUUGUCAUUCCUACAAUAUCUGGCUGUAUUUAUUUGCACCACUUUAUACCUAUGCACUCUAUAGCGUUUUGUGGUAGAGCUUUGUUGUUUAGUAGCUGAGGAUAAAAACAAAUUCUUUGAGGAAACCAUUGUGAUUGAACUAUAACGUGGUUAUUGUUGCCAUCUACAAAUAAUUUACAUGAUCUUAUUAAAUACAUGGGGUUUUCUUCUCAAAAUCAACUGGUAAUGAGAGAAGUAACUCAUCUAUUUUAUAAAUAAAUAAAUGUUGCGAGUGUCCCUUGACUUGUUCAAUGCUGAAUCCUCAAGAUGUCCCCUCAAGAUGAAUCUUUGGAUUCACCAUUCUAGAAUCAAAUUCAAUGUUUUGUUUCCGGAUUGAAUAUUGAAUGCUCGUUUGGCUUAAUAAGCUACAAUAGCCAAUUAGAUACAUGGAAUUUUAUCUCAAAAUCAUUUGGCAAUGUUAUGAGUAGUUGAUCUCAAUAUCUUAAGAACCCUGCACAUGGAUGUUUUGUUCUACAGCUGCUAAUACUAUGAAUCUUUCCUUCAUCAUUUGAAUUAUUUUUCCAUAAUGACGAGAUAGUUAUUCCCUUCACAUGACUUUCUGCUUAAAUUUUAUAGGUUGGACCUCUUGCUGCACAUUACCAAAUACCUUUACGGCAUGUCUUGUUGGUAUAGUUUGCAAUUUCUCCUAGUAAUUCUUAUGUUACUGUACAAAAUGACUAGAUUGAAUGGAAUUCUGUACAUGCUUACCAUUGUAGACUUAUGAUGAAAUGAACUUGCCAAAUGGCGUUCUUAGGCUGCAGCCAAAAGCAGGACAUGGCCAUCAUAAUGGGUAGGUUUAUGAAAUAUUAUUUAAUAUCGGUUUCACCUUUAUUUUUGUUCUAGUUUUAAUUGAUACCUCAUACUUUCAAUUUUUCUAACCUUGUUAUGUUGUUGUUAUGUACCUAUGGUAAUGUUUGGAAGUACUUUUGAUAUCACCACAAGUGGUUCUCACUUAAAAUCAUCAUGCUUGAGAGUAACAUAAAAGUACAUUAGGAAAAUGUCAAAAGUAUAUAAAGGGCUUCACGAGAAAGUUUCUACAGAGUGCUUUUGGCCCAAUUGCUGGACCAGCAAGCACACUUGACAACAAAUUAAAAAAUGUAGAACUAAAAAUAAAAUUAGUUUGUAAUUUAGCACCUUCUACUGAAGGCCUUAUAUUAAAAUAUCUUUUUAAAAGCACUCUCAAACAUAUAUUUUAUUGGGGCAUGUGUUGGAACUUCUUUGACAAGCUUAUUACAUCAUUAAGAAAAUUGAAGCUCAAUGGACUAUUUCUUGUCGAAUACCCACCAACUUCUCACUGAAGACUGUUAGGCCCCCUAUUAUUCACACAUACAAAUGAAGGGGCACAAAAGGUAAUAACCAGGUGACAGCUUAACCUAUGAGGAUUGAGGAAUAUGUUGCUGUGGGACCCAUGGGAAGGGAUGGGAGUAUAUAAAGGAAUGUUUUUGGGAUUGCUGAAGGUAGGUCAUAUUUUGAGAAAAAUUGCGGAAAGUUUGGAGGAGAAGGCCAGCAUUCUUGAAUUAGCUGGAGAGUCUUUCCUUUUAUAUUUUGACAUUUCUUGUGUUAUUUUCUGCUGUUUAGAGGAUAUCUACAUGAACCUUGUUUCCGACUCUAUUUCUAUCAAUAUAUAAAUAUAGAGUACUGUCUCUGUUCCUCUAUUGUGUUGUUCUAUUGUGUGUUGGGACGUUUCUGAGUGGCAGGUUUUUGGGAUCCUAACAAAGACAAGGUGUUUCAUAUUAGCAUUUUAUAGUUGAUUUGAUUGGACAUGCAUUUUCCUUCGCUUAUUUGCCAUUCAACAUGGAAGUCAUGUUCUUCUCUUAUUUGUUAUGAAGAAAUUUAUGGCACCAUGUGCAUAAAAAGUUGUUAUUGAUUACAUUAGUUAUACAGGGUGAAGAGUGUAAUGGGACACCUGGAUGGUCGACGUGAGUUUCCUCGGCUAUGCAUCGGUACGCAUCUUGGUUAACAUUAGUUUGAAAAUGUUCAUUAAGUUUCUACUUCAGGAAGUGUAAACAACGACAUUGCUCUUGUUAUUACUAUAUCUAGGAAUUGGAAACCCACCUGGGACUAUGGACAUGAAAGCUUUUCUCCUGCAGAAGUUCAGUUCAGUUGAGCGAAAACAGGUGAGACUUCCUUUGCAUUCUAAUACAGUUCCACUCUGCAUUAGUUUAUAUGUCGCAGCCUGAUGACCUCGAAGCUGUACUUGCCUGGUGGUAGAACACUAUUGCUUAGUGCGUUUUUCUUUUUUGACUUUUGUUUGUGCAACCCAACAGAUCGAUGCAGCUCUUGAACAAGGGGUUGAGGCAGUGAGAACCCUUGCACUGAAUGGAUUUAGCCAAAGAGUAAACAGAUUCAAUUUGUCCCAGAAAUACAAGUAUCAUAAGGUUUGAACCUCAGGAAAAGAAAGUUGUAGUUUUGAUCAUAUUGGUAAGUGAUAAUGAACUCUGAUAAAAAUGAAGUGUAGGACUGGAUAUAUAAUUAAAUUAAUUGUAUUUGAUCAUGUGAGUUAGCUACAAUGGUUGACUACUUGCUGUUCUAAGCAGAUCAAUUCACAGGAAGAUAAUCUAAUACCCAAUUGUUCAUGAAUUUACAUCGUACAACAUAAAUGAUAUAAACAAAUUGAUUUUUAGAAGUUAUACCUCUUCAUAUGACCUGACUGAGAAAGAGAGUCUAUGUUUAGCAUGGCAGUUCUAUGUGAUUGUUUUUGAAGUAAUUCUUAGAAGAAUGUUAAAUUAUAAGAUGUAACCAAUAAAUUUUAGAUUUGGUGUCUACCGAAUAUUUACUUUGAACUUGAAUGUGUUGUAUUUGUUCAUUACUGUUUAGGAUAGAUUUUUAAAUUUUAAAAACUACAUGAAGGAUUAGGACUCCAUAUGCCAUUGCCCGUCUAAAAGUAAAGUUGUUAUUUAGGUUGAAAUCUAUUGAAUACAAAAUUGGAACUUUCAGAUACACUAAACUUAUAAUGUAACCUAAGAGUAAGACCAUUUUCACAAGUUGUGUUGGUGUGAUUUGUCAGUUGUAAAGAUAAGUCUUAUUUUUGUUAUUUCUUUUAAUAAUAAUAAAUAAAAAAACUGGCCACCCAUAGAAACAGAUUAGGGAGGAAGGGUAAAAAUGUGGUUUUAAAAAGCUCUGAGCAAUGACUACUGUUCAUCUACUUUUCAUUUGAAAAAACUGUUUAAAAUCUGAGUAAAUUUGAGAAGUAAAAAGUUGUUAAGAUAUAAAUUGUGACGUUUCUUAAAGAUGGGAUCCACUAAGUUCUUGAGCCAGACAAGGGAUCAAAUUUACUACUACUACUUCUCUAACUCUUUUCGUUGAACCCAAUUUUAGAAGUAGUUUCUGUUUGUUCCAUUUUUUGUAUUAACAUUUCAGAAACAGAACCAUUUUUCGGUGGACAUGCAUGUUGUUAGUUAUUCUUUUAAACUUUUCUUUCAUUCCUGAAAAUUUGUCAAAAAUAAUAAUAAAAAAAAGACAAAUUAUGUAUCCUUUAUAGGAAAAUCACUUUUACCUUUUAUUGAUUUUUCCAUGAAGGUAAAUACUUUGUUUGUUUUUUCUAUUUUUUAAAAAACUUUUUAAUUUUCAUGUUAGGCAGCUAUUUUUUUAUUUUUAUUUUUAUUAUUUCAUUUGUUUUUAUAUAUAUUUUUUAAGAGAAAUUGUUUUAAGUAGAACGAAAAAAAGUAUUUAUAAAAUAUUGAAAGAAAAAAAACUUUAAUGGACUAUAAAUAAUUUAAUAAUUUUGUUACCGUUUGUAAAUAGUUUCAAUUUUUUUUUUAUUUGGCUAUAUUUGAAAAUGCUUUUUUUUCAUGGGUUAUUUCUUAAUUUGUAAUAGGCAUUUUUAUAAGGAGAAUUUAGAUAAAUAGAAGGAAAUGAAAAGUAUUUACAUCCUAAGUUAAAAUUUUAGUUAUCAAUUUUGGGCUUGGAUUAAAAUUUUGAUAGGGUCGUAAAUAGUUUGUCAAAAAGUUAGUUUAAUUUUAAUAUUUAAAAUUUCCAAUAUUUAGAUUUAUAUAUUAUUUUAAUUUUCAAAAUUUCAAAAUUUCAAAUCCUCAAUCUGUAUGUUUAAAUAUCGUUUGAAUUUUGACUUUUGAAUUUUUCAAUAUGAAUAGUUUAUAUAUUAUUUUAAUUCUGAAUUUUGAAUUUGGAAUGUUUUGGUACAUUUAAAACUUAGUUUCAAAUAAAUUUAGCUCCAUUUUAAUAUCUUACCACAACUAUAUUUAGAUAAUAAUAUAAUUGAAUUAGAUUUAAAUUAAUAUAGUUUAAAGCAAAUGACUUGAGUGAUAAAUAGUAUUACGAUUUAAAUUUCAAUAACACUUAGAGAAUAAGAAUAAUUACAUUGUUGUUAUUAACUAUACAAUCAAACUUGUGUUUGAUAAUGUAAAUUUUUAUAAGUCUUUUAUUUUAUAUUGAUGCAUGAUAUUUUUUUUUAAUUUUAUAUAAUUAAAUUAUAUUUAAACAAUAAAAUAAGAGAGAUGUAAGAAAAAAAAUCUCACAAGGGAAGAACAACUAUAGUUACCAUAUAAGUUUAUGUUUAUAUAUAUUCUUUUAGAAACAAUAAACACACGAAGAGAGAGUUAUCUAACAGUGAAUAAGUCCUGGUUGAAUAUAAGUUUUUUUACUGCUUGUCCAAAUGCAAGCAAAACAGUAGAUUUACCUAGGUGAUCCAAGGUCGAACACAGAAAACCGUUUACAAAAAUUAGUUCUAAAAAAUUACUAAUUAGUUAGGCGAUAUGACAAUUAGGUAAAAAGAAUAUAAUGGGAACUUAAAGCUACCUAAUUACACUCAGAAAACCGUUUACAAAAAUUAGUUCUAAAAAAUUACUAAUUAGUUAGGCGAUAUGACAAUUAGGUAAAAAGAAUAUAAUGGGAACUUAAAGCUACCUAAUUACACUUAGAGAUUCAUGCACAGAGAAUAAUAUGCGGAAAGGUGGAAGAUUGAACUCACUAACUUGUAUGUGAUGAAAACAAAGGAAGUAUAUGCAUUAUUAGGUGAUUAAGUAGUGUAGAAGCUUUGACACGAUAUAAUUGCAUAAUUAGCCAUGAUUAAGGUGACCUUUUCUCAAAGUGUUUAGACGCUAUACUUGCUCACCUUUCUGGAUGCAAAUGAUUGCGCUUGAUUAGGCAAACUUUAUCUAGAAGACUUACUUAUAAUACUUAUAGGACUUCUCGUUUAAGGACGACAAUCUUUCAGCGCCUAAUGUCCACACUUGUUCACCUUUCGGGAUACAAAUGUUGGAAGUUACCUCGCUAAGGUGAAGUGUGUUGUCAAACUCCUCCUUACGCGCAUUAGUCAUAUCCUUACUACUUACCCUCUCAGGUAGUUAGUGAUUGACACUGGUCACAUGAUGAAUAUAACUCAACUAAUGUGACAAGGUUUAGGUAGUUAGUGAUUGACACUGGUCACAUGAUGAAUAUAACUCAACUAAUGUGACAAGGUUUAUAAGCUAGACUUCUUAUCCAGAACCUAUCGCAACUCUAACUAUUGAUAAUACAUUGAGAAGUGGAAAAUCAAGAAAUAAUGGAUUGAAAAGGUGUAAACAUGUAAUAUAUAUGUAUAAAGAGUAUAGGCCUUUGAUCACUGUACAAUAUGAACAUCACAUAUAUUACAAUGAAGUGUAAAGAUGAAUAGAAAGAAGAAUGAAAAAAUACUACAAGUUAGGGAGAAAACGGGGGAAUGAUUCUCCUCUAGCUUGAACUCUAAGCUUCAAAUGGCCUAUUCAGGCCUGGUCCAUUCAGAUCUCUCUUUUAUAUUUAUAUUUAUAUUUAUGUUAUUAAUUUUGUAAAUGAAAAAAGUAGGUCACGAACUCAUGCCUCAUCCUUACUUUAUUCAUUUUAGUCUUCACAUCGCGCCUCAUCUCUCUAACUCACCCUCUCCCUCUCAUCUACGGUGUUCGUUGUCUCUCCUUCUUAGUUUCGGCCGCCUUCUUAGUCUUCGGCGUUCACCGUCUCCGAUUGUUUCUCCUUCUCAUUUUGUUCAACUUCUGUCUUCACAUCGCACCUCAUCUCUUUGACUCACCCUUUCCCUCUCGUCUCGGCCUCUUAUCUCCAAUGUUCAUUGUCUCUUUCUAAAUCUCCGACCUCUCAAUCCAACCAAUCCAAAAAUAUGGGUUGUAUUGGGAAUGUGUCACACCUCGUCCAAAAUGCCACUUUACCCGACUAAAUAGAGAUGUGCCGCCUAGACACUCAUCACGUACCUCUCUGCAAGAUGACGCUGUAAAUGCCUACUAACAGAACAACCUCUUAACUUGUCUCUUCACAAAACCUUUACCUUGAACUUAUGCUCUCUUAUCGUAGAGGAAAUUUACAACUUUUAUACUUUACUCCAUCGCGGUGAUCUUUACAUAAUACAAAAGAACAUUAGCUGUUUCACGAUAAAAAUUAAUAAUAACAAUAAUGCAGCGAAAUAACGUGACUUCUUCUUUUUAACUUAACAUUUUACCGAGUUCAUGCUUUUACAAUUGUAUUCAUUUUCUCGCAAGUUCCAAAAUUAAAACUCUCUUCUGAUCUGCUUUUCUUCCUCCACGGCCACCAAAUUCUGCUCCUUAUGGCGAGGGUAAUUAGAGGUGUAAAGACCUCAUUCUCAUCCAUCUUUUUGGUCGCCCAAGGGACAAUCUUUUAGGAAUUAAUUUGCCCGACUAAGUUCUUCCGAUCACCGAAUUUAGCCUUACCAACCUGGAUGCAGCCCUUGAUGCCUCUUCUGAAUUGAGCGUCUGCCCCUUGGCAUUAAGGAGUGAAGUCCUUACCUACCGACUCCUUAAACACGAGAUGGGAUAACAUGACUUGCAUGCCGCACAAGUUUCAUAAUAACCUGCCUUUCCCUCCAUUACUUGGCUUUUACGCUUGACACUCGUUCCUUAUUUAGCUUCAACGUUUGACAAUUUGGGGAUGAGAAACUUAAAAUGUAAGUCAAAGACUUAGUGAGUGAUAGAUAUAAUUCUCAUUGCAUCAAAAUAUAAUCACAAGCUUUUAUCGCAUCAAACACAAUCAUAACAAUGACAGUAAAUCAACACGAUUCAAGUCAUCAAAGCAUUCACUACUCAUCACUAGUCUUGCGAUUCAAGCGUCUCGUGAUAGACGUGAGAUUUCCACCAGCCUCAUGCAAUCGAUCAUACCAUACCACAUCAUACAAUCAUCACAAUCAUCAACAAAGAAAUAUUAGCUUAGAAGCUUUACAUACAAUACAUCGUAGCACGUUACUAAUAGUUCUAUGCAAUAUACACCAAACACAUCUAAGAUCAUAAGGAUUUACAAUCAUUUGUAAAACAUUACGUUCAUUCAUCAAAACACAUUCAAUUAUUUACAAGAUUAUCAUUAAUGAAAUACCGUUUAACUCAUGAAAAAUCACUCAAAAAAUAUUUAGUCUCAACUCUUUCUCCCGUUGCUUUUGAGUUUCUCUCCUCAUCGAGUGGUUCCUUCAACCAGCCUUUUCAACACUCCAAACUUCCUCUUAACAAUUUAUCAGAAUGUUAGCAUCUCAUGUCCUUUUUCUUUUGACUGUUGGUCCUAUUUAUAGUGACCUUUUACACCCAUGGGUCAUUUCCACGCUUUACACGUGUCACCCUUCCAUUUCGUCGUGUUAUGCAACCAACCCAAACUCAACACGUAAGCCAAACAUCAAUUACGAAUAGAAACAUCAAUUACGAAUAGACACCUUGAGACGCCAACCUUAUUUCUCUAGAAAGCUAAACAUAGAACACUUACUUCACCUCAUAGGGUUGUCCAAUCACCUCAUAUGAACGUUCACCUACUCAACAGAAUGCCUACGUCGUCGCGACCAUAUUAAGGUGCUGGCAGUUCUCCUCGUGUUACCACACCCAACGCCUAGUUCUUAGCAUUCAUCGAGUGCUCCUUCCUCGCCAACUUAUUUCAUCACAUCACUUACUUUAACGCGAUGACACUUAGACCCAAUUACUUUUCUCUUCAUACAUCACUCUUUCUCCUGUAGCAUCAUUCUUUCCUUUCGUAGAAUGUCUCUUCAACAGGACUCCCUUUUGGAUCUAGGUCUCACAUAAUGAAGACUCCCUUUUGGAUCCAAGUCUCACAUAAUAUCUUCCAACCAAACUCGUUUACAUCUCUAAUUUAAGCAUGAAUUAAUUGAGGAUAUAGCAAAAACUUUAAAAAAAUUGCAAAUAUGACCGAACUUGACCUCAACACAUUAAACACACUAAGUGACUAAAAAGUGCGACCCACUGUUAAUUAUCUGUUUCUUCCGAUUGUUUCAUCUUCACCACUAUUAUUGUCCAUCCCUAGCGUCAUCCUCAAAAUCUUCUUCUAGUUGAGGAUCCAUUACCAUCAAUAAUCUUCACAAUCUUGCAGCUACUUCCAUUUUUUGUUUUCUGUUCUUCCAAUCUUUCACGUUGUCAAUAUUGAUACCAUAACACAAGCCCUAAGAAUUCUCCCACUUUCCAUUUGUUAUGAAUUCCCUAACUAUUUGUUUUCAGUCCAAAUCAUUUAAUUCUCAGACAAAUUUCAGCCUAAUAGCAUUUGAAAUCGAUGGUGGAAUCAUAUUUUAGGUAUGAAUAUUGGGUUUCUUUUCCUUGAACGUAAGAACCAAUAAUGUAUUCUCUUUAUUUAUUUAUCUUCUAUUAUUAUUGUCAAGUUUAUAGACCAGUGUUAUUAGCGAGGUCUCAGUUAUUUAUCUCUAGAAUAAUGACGACCAAUGCUUCAUUGCUUCUUUCGAACCGAAUGACACACGUUGAAUGUAGCACUAACUAAACAAGACAACACCAGUACAAACAUCUAGAUUAAUUUUCUAUGAAUUAUUUCCACUUUGCAUCCAUAAUAUCAACACAAAAAGCGUAUAAAUGAGAGAUAAAGAGAUAAGAGGAUGAAAUUUAUAGUAUUCUGCCUUCACAAAAAAAAAUUUAGGCCUUUAGGCCAUGAGGUUUGAAAUAAAAUUACAAAACAAACAUGAAUUACAUAUGGAAAGAAACUGAAAUGAGUCAAGCAUUAAAGACACUAUUCCCACUACCACUACGUGCUAUCUCUUUGCAGAUGAGUGAUGGGGUCGCCGAUUACAUAAAAAGACACUGAAAUUUUUUAUACAAAAAAAGAAAAAAACCAAAAAGGGAAAAAUCCCAACUUCGAUCUUAGUUUGUCUGACCACCGCCGCCGGUGCUCUUCUUAGGCGGAGGAGCAGGGUUGAUUUUACUGUUGCGGGCUCUUCGAGGUGGUCGUGAAUGACGACGGGCAUUCACAGUCAGUCGUCGUAGGCGAGGAGCUUUGGCAUUAUCUUUGUUGUUCUUUUGAAGACAUGAACUUGAAGACUCCAUCUUUCUUUUUUUUUUUUUCUGGAAACGACUUUGAUUCUCUU
rnacentral:lncRNA from 1 species